CGGGUUGUAAACCGCUUUCAGCAGGGAAGAAGCCUUUCGGGGUGACGGUACCUGCAGAAGAAGUACCGGGCUAACUACGUGCCAGCAGCCGCGGUAAUACGUAGGGUACAAGCGUUGUCCGGAAUUAUUGGGCGUAAAGAGCUCGUAGGUGGUUGGUCACGUCUGCUGUGGAAACGCAACGCUUAACGUUGCGCGUGCAGUGGGUACGGGCUGACUAGAGUGCAGUAGGGGAGUCUGGAAUUCCUGGUGUAGCGGUGAAAUGCGCAGAUAUCAGGAGGAACACCGGUGGCGAAGGCGGGACUCUGGGCUGUAACUGACACUGAGGAGCGAAAGCAUGGGGAGCGAACAGGAUUAGAUACCCUGGUAGUCCAUGCCGUAAACGUUGGGCACUAGGUGUGGGGGACAUUCCACGUUCUCCGCGCCGUAGCUAACGCAUUAAGUGCCCCGCCUGGGGAGUACGGUCGCAAGGCUAAAACUCAAAGGAAUUGACGGGGGCCCGCACAAGCGGCGGAGCAUGCGGAUUAAUUCGAUGCAACGCGAAGAACCUUACCAAGGCUUGACAUACACCAGACCGGUCUGGAAACAGUCCUUCCCCUUUGGGGUUGGUGUACAGGUGGUGCAUGGUUGUCGUCAGCUCGUGUCGUGAGAUGUUGGGUUAAGUCCCGCAACGAGCGCAACCCUCGUUCUAUGUUGCCAGCACGUAAUGGUGGGAACUCAUAGGAGACUGCCGGGGUCAACUCGGAGGAAGGUGGGGAUGACGUCAAAUCAUCAUGCCCUUUAUGUCUUGGGCUUCACGCAUGCUACAAUGGCUGGUACAGAGAGAUGCGAGACCGCGAGGUUUUAGCGAAUCCCUUAAAGCCAGUCUCAGUUCGGAUCGUAGUCUGCAAUUCGACUACAU
rnacentral:rRNA from 1 species